AAUAUUGCUUUCAAACAGUAAUUUAAUUCAAAUGUAUUCAAUUGUACAUGCAUUCAUUGAUAUGCACAAAAAGAAUUCAUACGAAUACACAUGUUUGCAUAUACAUAAGUACAUAUGUAUGUAUGUAAAGGUAUAAAAAUAUAAGCAAAAGAGUGAACAUACUUACGUCUGUUAAAGCAAUAUAUAGUUUGAGCAUAAUUUUUAUUUCAUGCUGUUCAAGCGAAAAUGUUAAAAUUUCUCCUGCCGAGCUGGCAGUGGUGAAACUCUUCUAUCUCGACCGAGUUAGCCAAAAAUAUUUUUACGAUCUCCGCGCCGUGAACCUUCUCUAUGAUAAACGUUCUCUGAUAGCUAUUAAGUUUUACAUGCAUUUUAUUUUACGACAAUCUUGCAAAUAUGCGAGACCGUUUUCAGUGGCAACCAUAGCAUUUUGCGCAAUUCGCAAUCAGCUGGAAGCGUCACUUUGGUGUUUUAAAAGAAAUGGAAGCGAAAAAAAGAUUAAGGCUAAACGGCACAUUUCGUUGGUCUGAAAGCCAAACGAAAGACCAUUUGAUAAAUAUAGUGGACGCAAUAAAAGAGAAUCCGGACCAUUUUGAGAAACCAACAGCCCAAAGGUUUUACAACAAAAUUGGCGAAAAUGCUCCAAAUUUAAUGAAUAUUAAAUGGGACAUAAUGAGGACUAAACUGAGGCAUUUGAAAACGACAAAUAUUAAUGCGAAACUCUAAGACCUGCAAAAUAUUUUUACCUCUUUUUGUUCACACAACUGUACAAUUCCGAUAUGAAUUAAAUUUUCGCUCUUUAAUUUGUGUAUUGCUGCAACAAUUCUGCCAUGGACAUGGAUAAAAUGAUACGAAACUUGUAUUGGCUCUCAUUUUUAUCUCAAACGCGUUCCCUGAUUACGGGGCAUCUCGACAGAAUCGAAUUUGUAGCAUACUAACUGUCAAAUCUAUUGCUAUUGCCAUUGCCAAAUCUGUAUGUGGGCAUUUGCUAUCAUCAUAUUUGGUUGUCAAAAAAGUCUUGCGGUAUUUUUAUUGAAUCAAUUCGUGUGGCACCCAUACAUCGAGCUUCUUAGUGACUCCAAGCUUCUUCAAAUGGUUUAUAACGGUUUGAUGACUACUAUGCCGGUCUCUUUCGACCAAUUCAGCGAUUUUAUCGCAAUUUUCGACGACAGGCCUUCCGGAGCGUGGCGCAUCUUCGACCACCUCUACACCAGAACGAAAACGUUGAAACCAUCGUUGUGCAGUGGAAAUGGAAACUGUGUCGGGUCUAUAAACUCCACGGCUUGAGAUGCAUUUUUGCCUUUAUCGUAGUAGUACUGUAAAAUAUGCCGUAUUUUCUCUUUAUUUUGCUCCAUGUUUGCGACGCUAUAACUCACGAACGACUUAAAAGAAACGACAAUCAAUUAAGCAGUUAGCGCGUGAAAUGAGCCUUCCAAAAAGGUAUAGCAUGACCCGUUGCGACGAAUAAAACUAGAACUACGCGCUUUAAAAUACCGCAAGACUUUUUUGACAACCUAAUAUAAUCAUUUGCGCAAAGGCGUAAGAUAAAUUGAUCAGAAUCUCUUUUCUUGCUCUCUCGCUUGUCAGCUGGAAGAGGACCCUGAUCGGUUCUCUGAGCUGGCAACAAAACACAAUCAGGGUGCCGUCAACUAGCUGUUAGUGAAAAAGGCGUGAUACCAGAAGAGCACCGCUAAAACGAACUGCGAAAAUUAGUGCGUUGCUGAAGUUUUGUAAAAUUAGAUUUUCGUAGUUUGUAAAAUUGUUCAUAUACAUAUAUGGGUGAUAUAGGCCUACUGGGGAACCGAGCACCCAAAGAUAAUAUCGGUAACGCGCUAUUUGCAUACCUCAGUGAUAAUGUGGAAACUGCAAAAUACCCAAAAGUUGUUUAUAAAAUGCCCAAGCUAAUCUUUUUCAGCAGUGGCAUCAUUGGCAAAUGUUAUAAAAAUGCGAGUUUUGACAGCUCUCUCUCGAACCAAAGAGACUCGUAUCAAGUUAUCUAUGGCAUAGGGUAGGUGGGUUCGAGCUAAUAUAGCGCAUGCUUUGAGCUCUUGAAAAAUUUAUUUUAUCAUUUGCGAAAUGUCGUCGGGUAGAUAGCUGAUGUAGCACACGUUUUGAACUCUUGAACCAUAAUAAUUGUGGCAUAAAUUUUAUACACCAAUUAAAAUAAUAAAUUUAAAAUGAGCAAUGAUAUUUUGAUUUAUGUUUGUAUAAGAUUAUUAAAUUUAAGACUUCGCUCAUUCUCAACCCAAUUUGCAUAAUUUUGCUGUAAAUUAACAAUAUUAAACUAAAUAUUCAUUUUUUGGAAAAAUGUUAUUUUGAAAAUGUACUUAUUUUUAUAAUAUAACGCAACCGUCUUAAUACACGAUCUUCUAAAUUUCAUAUUACAGAAUUGAAAAUACCGUCGGCUUAUGUGCAGAUGGGAUAUGUUGCCUCUUCGAAAUUUUCAUAGAAAUGAAAACUGCACUGUCAAACUGCUGAAGUUACAGCUUAUAGCUAGACGUAACUCUUUAUAUAUCUAUUAUACUCGUAUCUUCUAUAUAGCAGACAUUUCAACUGCAUAACUAGCAUGAAAAUAAAAGCAGUAAAUUUAAACUGUCAACAUACAGACGUUCCAGUUAAAAAUUCUUAGAGCUAUAACGAGUUCACUAGGGCACAUUCGUAAUGCAAAUACAGUAGAAUCCGGUUAUAACGACUCCGCUUAUAGUGUCCGUCCGGUUAUUGCGACAAAAACUCGAUGGCUUGGUUGGUCCCCAUACAAACUUAUAUGAAAGAGCCUCCGCUUAGUACGUCUCCGCUUUUAGCGACUAACCGCUUAUACCGACGAAAUUUUUCAGAAUUCAACCGGAUAUAGCGACGAAAAAAAAAAUUCAGCAAAAUAAUGCCAACAAUUUUAAGCAUCAAAC